rnacentral:rRNA from 1 species
UACGUAGGGUGCAAGCGUUAAUCGGAAUUACUGGGCGUAAAGCGUGCGCAGGCGGCUUUGCAAGACAGAUGUGAAAUCCCCGGGCUUAACUCGGAAAGGUCAACUGAUACUGCAGGGCUAGAGUGCAGAAGGGGCAACUGGAAUUCUCGGUGUAGCGGUGAAAUGCGUAGAUAUCGAGAGGAACACCUGCGGCGAAGGCGGGUUGCUGGGCUGACACUGACGCUGAAGCGCGAAAGCCAGGGGAGCGAACGGG